rnacentral:lncRNA from 1 species
GUAAGAUGAAUUGGGCAUGACUAAGGUGUAGGGGUGCCAGGCCUUCCAUUAACAGGAAAGGUAUGCAGGGGCAGCAGAGCGGGGCAGCACACCAAGGACGCAAACCAAGAUUCCCUUCCAAAGGUUCUUCCCAAGGGCUUCCCAGGUGGCACUAGUGGGAAAGAACUCGCCUGCCAAUGCAGGAGACACAAGAGAAGCGAGAAACAUGGGUAGAUCUCUGAGUCGGGAAGAUCCCCUGGAGGAGGGCAUGGCAACCCACUCCAGUAUUCUUGCCUGGAGGAUCCCAUGGACAGAGGAGCCUGCUGGACUACAGUCCAUGGGGUUGCAAAGAAUAGGCCACGACUGAAGCGACUUAGCACUCAGUGUGAGGAGAUGUGCGAGGAGGGAACUUCUGGAUAAUAGUAGAUGUGGGAGAAGAAGAGGGAUUAGUCUGGUUGGUGAGA